UCCCUGUGGGUCUAGUGGCUAGGAUUCGGCGCUUUCACCGCCGCGGCCCGGGUUCGAUUCCCGGUCAGGGAA
rnacentral:tRNA from 1 species